ensembl:lncRNA
GCAGAGGUUGCAGUGAGCUGAGAUCGCGCCACUGCACUCCAGCCUGGGUGACAGAGGGAGACUGUCUCAAAAAAAAAAAAAAAGAAAAGAUUGUGAUGACACCUUGUAGGGGUGGUGGGGAGAACAGAACAUAGUUUCCUUCCUGGAAUGGAGAAAAGGAACAAGAGUUUUUCAUCAAAGGCAGACACCUGUGUUGCAUGCAACAGAGGGACACCAGCUUCUUUUCCACACGGAGGUUAAGUGUGGGAACUUGGCAAACAUACCUUUAGAGCCAGGGAAAGACAGAAAAAUCGGGAUGUGGGGGGCUGGAGAGCAAAGCAUUUCCUAGAGACACUAUCCAAAACACAACCAGUGGGUGUAAUUUUAAGGCCAAUUCCUGGCGAUCUUGUUUUCCACUGCUAGGGGUUUGGAAACAGGUGGGAAACACUUAUUAUCAGGCUUCCCAGGAGUCCUGAGUGGGAAACGUGGAGCUCUCACGAAUGCAUCCUCUGGCUGGUGGCUGGCCACUCUGGUCAUCUUGUGGCCCACAAUCUAGGCAAGAAGCGCUCCAGAGGCCUCUGAAAAUGUCUCACCAAAAAAGCAGACUAGAAGGGGGCCCAUGAUGAAUAUGACAGGGAGCUAACUGAAGACAUUGGGAAGCAGGUACUAGAAAAACCCACGCCACUAGCUAGCCUGCCUCUAUUUCUGGGGGGGAAAUUACAUGACAGAUAACCGCCUCCGUUUUCCUACCUGGAAGGUGGGCAUAACAUUGAGACCCAGAAGUGAAAGUGGACAUGUUUAGUCCAACCCUUGUAUUUCACAAGGAGGAGACUGAGACCGGAGGUGAACAGACUAGCUCGAGUACCCAGCUCAUAAAUGGCCAAAUCAAGACGAACAUCCAGAUCGUGACCCCCACAUUAGUGUUCCCUGCACCCACCUGGUUUCUUCCAGAGGCCUUCCCAGGAAGACAGGAGUUGGCUGAAGGGAGCUCCUGCCAUAAAAUCAGUAUCACUUUAUCAACCUACCGACCUCAGCGGAAGAUCCAGCAAAAAGGACAGUUGCUGCCUGCAGACAAAGUUCACCUGGGCGCUUAAAGGUGCCUCUCCCCUGCCAAAUGAUUACAGGUGUGUUUUCAAGCUUGAGGCUGGUAAGCAAUCCUAGGGUGGUGACGAAGAUCCAUCUGGAAGCCCUGAAGAAGGCAAAUGACACUGACGAUGAAAACCAAGAAGCACCCUUUGUGAUGGAGGGUCCCAGCCCCUUACCCAGACUACAGUCCUGCCACCAAGUCAGGGACCCCGCGCCGGGUUGAAUACUCUGCUGUUACCGUGUGAAAUUCUCAAGAACUUAACAACAAGGUGCCUGGCAUCUUCAUUUUGCACUGGGCCCCUCAAUCACGUGGCCAGGGCUGCUGCCUCCCUGGAAACCAUAGAAGGGUGGCUCGUCUACACCUCUUCGUCCCCCCAUCCCUGCAGCCCUAGACCAAGGGGACCUAACGGAAGCCCUGCCAUUUGCACCUCCCUAGGCCUGGCCUCGGGAGGGGAAGAAGGCUGCGGGAAGAGGCAGGGGAGCGGGAAGAGGUCCACACCCUCGGGCAAAGGGCCCGCUAACCAGCGGCCUUUUCCAACCCCGGCAAGCCAGGCGUCAACGCAAAAGUGCGCCCCGGCCCACCCCCAUCCCCUGCGCUGCCUGACUCGGUUCCAAGGGUUGCCCCUGUCCUCCUUGCCCCAGAAGCGAGGCCUUCCACGCCGCCUUCUGACUUCCGACGGGCAAGUGGGCCGGGUGGCCGAGGCUCAGUUUGCUGGUAGGGGAAAUGGGAACGCGGGGCCCUCGCGGGCGGAGGAAGCUGCCGGGGUGCAGAGCCCGAGCAGGGUGCACUUCCGGCCGUCGAGCCGCCCGCCGGCACCUCGACUGAGGGAAAGUUUGGGGACAGGUGAUAGCGGGAGGUGCUCUCGGCCGGGGCCCCAGCCUCGCCCUGGUCCCAGGGGCCGCGACUCUGAUGGACAGGAAUGACGAGCCGCCCAAACGCCAGAGCCAGCGACCCAGAGCUGCCGCAAACCCCGCGCCUCGGGGGCGGGAUCACGGUGAAGGGGCGGGGCUCAGGCGGAGGGGGCUGGCACUGCUAUGAGUCUAUGAAUAAAGUCUCAACGAGAUGUUUUCUCGUAGCGGUUCCAUAGUGUAGUGGUUAUCACGUCUGCUUUACACGCAGAAGGUCCUGGGUUCGAGCCCCAGUGGAACCAUGGUCGCGAGGCGGAUCUUUUUGCUUCCUAAUCCUUCAGGACUUUGGUGUGUUUGGGUUUUUCAAAAAAAAAAAAAAAAAAAAA